rnacentral:rRNA from 1 species
AUGAACGUUGGCGGUGUGCCUAAUACAUGCAAGUCGAACGAAGAUGAUAGCAAUAUUGUCUUAGUGGCGAACGGGUGAGUAACGCGUUGGUGACCUGCCCCGAAGUGUGGAAUAACAAUUCGAAAGAAUUGCUAAUACCGCAUGUGAUCUUGGAGAUUAGAACCUCUUUGAUUAAAGGAUUUAUUCGCUUCGGGAGGGGCCUGCGUCCCAUCAGCUAGUUGGUAGGGUAAUGGCCUACCAAGGCUUUGACGGGUAGGGGACCUGAGAGGGUGGCCCCCCACAAUGGAACUGAAACACGGUCCAUACACCUACGGGUGGCAGCAGUAGGGAAUAUUAGUAAUGGGCGAAAGCCUGAACUAGCAACACCGCGUGUGCGAUGAAGGCCUUCGGGUUGUAAAGCACUUUUAAGAGGGAAGAUAAUGACGGUACCUCUUGAAUAAGCACCGGCUAACUCCGU